AUUGAACGCUGGCGGCAUGCCUUACACAUGCAAGUCGAACGGUAACAGGUCUUCGGAUGCUGACGAGUGGCGAACGGGUGAGUAAUACAUCGGAACGUGCCCGAGAGUGGGGGAUAACGAGGCGAAAGCUUUGCUAAUACCGCAUACGAUCUCAGGAUGAAAGCAGGGGACCGCAAGGCCUUGCGCUCACGGAGCGGCCGAUGGCAGAUUAGGUAGUUGGUGGGAUAAAAGCUUACCAAGCCGACGAUCUGUAGCUGGUCUGAGAGGACGACCGGCCAGACUGGGCCUGGGACACGGCCCAGACUCCUACGGGAGGCAGCAGUGGGGAAUUUUGGACAAUGGGCGCAAGCCUGAUCCAGCCAUGCCGCGUGCAGGAUGAAGGCCUUCGGGUUGUAAACUGCUUUUGUACGGAACGAAAAGACUCCUUCUAAUAAAGGGGGUCCAUGACGGUACCGUAAGAAUAAGCACCGGCUAACUACGUGCCAGCAGCCGCCGUAAGAC
rnacentral:rRNA from 1 species